UACGAAGGGGGCUAGCGUUGCUCGGAAUCACUGGGCGUAAAGCGCACGUAGGCGGCUUGUUAAGUCAGGGGUGAAAUCCUGGAGCUCAACUCCAGAACUGCCUUUGAUACUGGCGAGCUGGAGCGCGGUAGAGGAGGGUGGAAUUCCUGGUGUAGCGGUGAAAUGCGUAGAUAUCAGGAGGAACACCGGCGGCGAAGGCGGCCCUCUGGACCGUUGCUGACGCUGAGACGCGAAAGCGUGGGGAGCAAACAGG
rnacentral:rRNA from 1 species